GAUACGUCAACACAGCACAGAAAGCUUAACACCAGACUGGUAUUGUGGUUGUUCAUUAGGUGAUGGGAAAUAUGCAAUAUGUAUACAAAAUAAUAUACUUACCUGUU